rnacentral:rRNA from 1 species
UACGGAAGGCAGCAGUGGGGAAUAUUGCACAAUGGGCGCAAGCCUGAUGCAGCCAUGCCGCGUGUAUGAAGAAGGCCUUCGGGUUGUAAAGUACUUUCAGUCGUGAGGAAGGUGUUAAGGUUAAUAACCUUAGCAAUUGACGUUAGCGACAGAAGAAGCACCGGCUAACUCCGUGCCAGCAGCCGCGGUAAUACGGAGGGUGCGAGCGUUAAUCGGAAUUACUGGGCGUAAAGGGCACGCAGGCGGUUAAUUAAGUUGGAUGUGAAUCCCCGGGCUUAACCUGGGAAUGGCAUUCAAGACUGGUUAGCUAGAGUCUUGUAGAGGGGGUAGAAUUCCAUGUGUAGCGGUGAAAUGCGUAGAGAUGUGGAGGAAUACCGGUGGCGAAGGCGGCCCCUGGACAAAGACUGACGCUCAUGUGCGAAAGCGUGGGGAGCAAACGAGGAUUAGAUACC